UACGGAAGGGGCAAGCGUUGUUCGGAAUCAUUGGGCGUAAAGGGCGCGUAGGUGGUUCCGUAUGUCUACCGUGAAAGCAUACAGCUCAACUGUAUUUUGUCGGUAGAAACUGCAGGACUUGAGGCUGGGAGGGGCUGGUGGAAUUCCCUGUGUAGCGGUGAAAUGCGUAGAGAUGGGGGAGAACACUCGUGGCGAAGGCGGCCAGCUAGACCAGUUCUGACACUGAGGCGCGACAGCGUGGGGAGCAAACAGG
rnacentral:rRNA from 1 species